UGGACCCAGCUGUCGGCACUCAUCACCUCCACACCAGCCUACUUAAGAGGAGCCUUCCCCAGCAUUCUUCACCAGUUCGUUACCUUACCCGGUCCUCAUCAUCCACGUGCCGUCCUGGGUCCAGCUACGCCUCUACUACUCUACCACGCCAAAGCCACCCCACGCCACGCACCAUCCGCUGAACUCACCUUGCCACUCCAGCCCUCCACCGGUCUUCGCUCUCCAUCUCAAGUCUGCAGAUCCACUCCUAGUUCCGGCCGCUACUCCACUUCCCCACGGACAAUAAAACCUUUCUAUAUCA